rnacentral:misc_RNA from 1 species
GGGAACUGUUCAUAUUGAUCUUUCGCUGCGGUCUAUUUCACACAAAACCCAGAAGGAGAAACUCUCUGCACACAAUGACACAGUGAAUUUUCCUGUAUUGGUGGAGAAAAUUGAGGACCUUCGUCCAAAUAUGAUGGUGCAGGCUUAUGUGAAAAAUGUAUCACCGAAAGGAUGUUUCGUAAUACUUUCGCGCAAAGUUGAUGCGAAAGUUCUCCUGUCAAACUUGUCUGAUGGCUAUGUGGAAAAUAUAGAGAAAGGAUUCCCUGUUGGUAAACUUGUCAUUGGAAGGGUGGUUUCCGUGGAGCCCUUGUCUAAGCGAGUUGAAAUCACUCUAAGGACAUCAAGUGCAGUUGGUGCUCCCAAGUCUGAUAAAGAUGCUCUAAGUAAUUUGACUGUUGGUGAUGUCAUAUCUGGUAGAAUCAAGCGAGUUGAACCAUAUGGAUUGUUUAUCACAGUUGAUCACACAAACUUGGUUGGGUUGUGCCAUGUAUCAGAAAUCUCUGACGAUCAUGUCGACAA